AUUAAACUACGUUCUCACUGAAGUUCUAAAAUAGAAACGAACAUAGAACAUGGAUUUGAAAAUUGGUGAAAUUCAAAGUUGCAGCCUUUGUCUGCUCGUAUGGAGCAAAUUUUUAAUUUCGGAAGUAGUUGCUUAUUUUAUUAUGUACAAUGUUGCCUUACUUCGCGAAGUUAUUUGGACAAAUGAAGAACUUUUUAAACCGCUAUUGAGCAAUCACGCAUUUAUUAUGGUCGUCACAAUGAUUGUUAUUAACGGUCACGGAAUGGUUAUAUUUCGUCUAUUUCCUAGCUGCAGAACUCAAAUAAUUAAAUAUAUCCAUGCGGGUAUUCACACAGUGACUUUAAUUGGUUCCAUAUACGCUUACUGUUUGAUAAACAGAUCUAAGAGUGUCAUGGGUCUAUUCCAAUCCACUACUCAAAAAUUUCAUAUUUCCUUUGGUCUGAUGACAGCAGUUUUGUUUAUUUUUCAAUGGCUCGCUGGAGUGUUUGUAUACUUGUACCUAUAUUCAAAUCAGAAAAGGAGAAAACUUUUUGCUUCAUGUCACAAUUUUAUUGGAGUUUGUGUUCUACAAAUCUCUAUAGUUACAUCGUGUCUUCAAAUCCAGGAAAUGAGUUAUAAGAUUUUCAUAUUUUAGAAUCAUUUUCGAAGAAGACUAUGCUGAAAAUGCAAUGGUAUUAAUGGUAAUUUAUGGAAUUAUUAUCAAUGUAAUAGUUUUGAAUCCACAUCUUGAAUGGCGUUUGGUUGGUCCUCUUUGAAUGAAAAUGGAAUUUUGUAUCAUAAUGGUUUAUUUAUGGUAACUCUGUAAUGGAAAUAAAUAGUGUUUCACACGUGAACACUUGUAUUUUUUCAGCUUAUGUGGGAUUCCAUUGGUAAACUAGUUGAUUUAAUUUUUCAUAAGAUUUUAAUAAAAUGUUGAUUUUCCCUUCAUUUGGCAAUAUAAAUCUAUUUGAAAUUG